AUGAGGGCCGCUGUUGUUCCUUUGGGUAACCAAGGCAAGCUGGAAAUGCAACCCAUGUUCGGGAAAGUGUUCUAUAUUCAGGCCGCCUCAGGCAGUCCCGUGGCAGAGGAGAACAAGAACCAUCACCGAAUGAGCUACUAUGAUAGUAAUUAUUCCCACACUUCUAUAAUCACCAACCAACAUAUUUUGGUCAGAGUUGAGAAGAAUGCUGGCAAGGUGAGAGACAUUGAGGGUCCUGCAGUUAUGGCUCCAUUGGUUAAGGAGGAUGCGAGUGAGGUGCGCAGCAUGGAGUUUAAAACACCGACACUCGGUCAGUCACUUCCUGCAUGUAACACAACUCAAAGGUCCAAGGAAUGGUGUGAUUAUUACGCUGCCGACGACAGUGAGGCUCGCUCUGAAAUUUUUGAGCAGAUGCUCAAAGAUGUAUCAGAGCCUUGUUACGACCAAGCACUAUGGCUCAUGGAUGUCCGGAGGUUCCUGUGUCACCGUCCCUGGCACUUGCUUCCUGCACAUCUUGGAGCUUUCAUUUAUUUUGAUGAAGGAUUAGGAGGUUAUGUCCUUCCCCUUCCUAAAAUGAUGGCAUGUGAUGUUUCUCUCAAAGUGUAA
rnacentral:rRNA from 1 species